AGAGUUUGAUCAUGGCUCAGAUUGAACGCUGGCGGCAUGCCUUACACAUGCAAGUCGAACGGCAGCAUGAUCUAGCUUGCUAGAUUGAUGGCGAGUGGCGAACGGGUGAGUAAUACAUCGGAACGUGCCCUGUAGUGGGGGAUAACUAGUCGAAAGAUUAGCUAAUACCGCAUACGACCUGAGGGUGAAAGUGGGGGACCGCAAGGCCUCAUGCUAUAGGAGCGGCCGAUGUCUGAUUAGCUAGUUGGUGAGGUAAAGGCUCACCAAGGCGACGAUCAGUAGCUGGUCUGAGAGGACGAUCAGCCACACUGGGACUGAGACACGGCCCAGACUCCUACGGGAGGCAGCAGUGGGGAAUUUUGGACAAUGGGCGAAAGCCUGAUCCAGCAAUGCCGCGUGUGUGAAGAGGGCCUUCGGGUUGUAAAGCACUUUUGUCCGGAAAGAAAUGGCUCUGGUUAAUACCUGGGGUCGAUGACGGUACCGGAAGAAUAAGGACCGGCUAACUACGUGCCAGCAGCCGCGGUAAUACGUAGGGUCCAAGCGUUAAUCGGAAUUACUGGGCGUAAAGCGUGCGCAGGCGGUUGUGCAAGACCGAUGUGAAAUCCCCGAGCUUAACUUGGGAAUUGCAUUGGUGACUGCACGGCUAGAGUGUGUCA
rnacentral:rRNA from 1 species